rnacentral:rRNA from 1 species
AUUGAACGCUGGCGGAAUGCUUUACACAUGCAAGUCGAGCGGCAGCGCGGCCUUCGGGCUGGCGGCGAGCGGCGAACGGGUGAGUAAUUCAUCGGAACAUGCCCAGUCGUGGGGGAUAACACUUCGAAAGAAGUGCUAAUACCGCAUACGUCCUGAGGGGGAAAGCGGUGGAUCGCAAGGCCUCGCGCGAUUGGAUUGGCCGAUGUCAGAUUAGCUAGUUGGUGGGGUAAAGGCCUACCAAGGCGACGAUCUGUAGCUGGUCUGAGAGGAUGAUCAGCCACACUGGGACUGAGACACGGCCCAGACUCCUACGGGAGGCAGCAGUGGGGAAUUUUGGACAAUGGGGGCAACCCUGAUCCAGCCAUGCCGCGUGAGUGAAGAAGGCCUUCGGGUUGUAAAGCUCUUUCGGCAGGAACGAAACGGUGGGCUCUAACAUAGUCCGCUAAUGACGGUACCUGAAGAAGAAGCACCGGCUAACUACGUG